rnacentral:piRNA from 1 species
UGAACAAUGAUCAUGCAGCCUCAGACAAAGC